rnacentral:rRNA from 1 species
UUGUACACACCGCCGUCACACCACGAGAGUUUGUAACACCCGAAGUCGGUGAGGUAACCGCAAGAGCCAGCCGCCUAAGGUGGGAUACAUGAUUAGGGUGAAGUCGUAACAAGGUAGCCGUAUCGGAAGGUGCGGAUGGAUCACCUCCUUCUAAG